rnacentral:rRNA from 1 species
GUGUCAGCAGCCGCGGUAAAACGUAGGAGGCGAGCGUUAUCCGGAUUCAUUGGGCGUAAAGGGCGUGUAGGCGGUGACUCAAGUUGGGCGUGAAAUCUCCCGGCUCAACCGGGAGGCGCCGUCCAAUACUGGGACACUUGAGGGCAGGAGAGGAAAGCGGAAUUCCCGGUGUAGUGGUGGAAUACUUAGAUAUCGGGAGGAACACCAGUGGCGAAAGCGGCUUUCUGGACUGUGCCUGACGCUGAAGCGCGAAAGCGUGGGUAGCAAACGGGAUUAGAUACCCCGGUAGUCCACGCUGUAAACGAUGGAUACUAGGUGUUGGUGGCUAUUGACCCCACCAGUGCCGCAGCUAACGCGAUAAGUAUCCCGCCUGGGGACUACGGCCGCAAGGCUAAAACUUAAAGGAAUUGACGGGG